UCUGAUUACAUCAUAAAACAAAAGAUCAAAUUCUAAGUCCAGGAGUUUGGAACUGAUCUUCUGAUGCUAAUAUUCAUGUCUCAUGUUCCUCCAGCUGCUAAAAAAAAUAAUAAUAAUUGAGAUGAGAUACAAUAUCUCAGUGAGCUUUAUAAAUAAGAGGAAAACAAGAAGAAAAUUAUUAAAAGUGAGAUACAAUAUCUUUCAUAAAAGUGUAUAAAACAUAUAAAAGUAGUUAUACAUCUCAAGAAGAAAAAAAAAAACAAUCAUUAUACAUCACAAACAUCAUACCCAUAAACAACAAUACACACGUCUAAUUUAUUUUCAAUUUCAGAAAGUUAAAUUCCUAUUCUUAACAAAAUAAAAAAAUAAAAAUAAAAAUCUUUAAUAAAAAGAUCUCACUGGUUGUGACAAGGAAGAAGAUGAUGUUCUGAUUAACUUGGUUGCUGAGCUCCCCUUUUGCUUGAAUUGUCACCUUGACCCAAGUUCUUCAAUUUUGGGUUAUCAUCCUUCGCUGUUGAAGCUGAUUAGUUACAAAUUG
rnacentral:lncRNA from 1 species